GGCGCAGAGCGGGGCGCAUGGCGCCGGGCGCACGGCGCGGGGGCUGUGAACAAAGGGCCCCCGGCGGCGCAGCGGGGACGGAGGCGCUCGGACCCCGGCCCCGGCCCAACCCCGGCCCGCCCCUCUCCCCCGGCGCGGCGCCUCCGCAGAGCCGGAAAAUGUGGGGCGCCCUGCUCUGGUCGCCGCUCUGGCUCCUGCUGCUGCUUUCGCCGCGGGACGGCGUGCACGCUGCACAGCCCCAGGCCCCGGGCUAUUUGAUCACUGCACCCUCUGUCUUCCGCUCGGGAGUGGAGGAAGUCAUCAGCCUGACCAUCUUUAACUCCCCAAGGGAAGUCACGGUCCAGGUUCAGCUGGUGGCCCAGGGCGAGGCUGUGGCACGGAACCAGGGAGCCAUCCUGGAUAAAGGGACAAUCAAACUCAAGGUGCCCACGGGGCUCCGGGGCCAGGCCCUCCUGAAGGUGUGGGGCCUUGGUCGGCAAGCAGAGGAGGGCCCCCUGUUCCACAACCAGACCUCAGUGACCGUGGAUGGCCGGGGAACCUCUGUGUUCAUCCAGACUGACAAGCCAGUGUACAGGCCCCAGCACCGAGUGCUCAUAAGUGUCUUCACCGUCACCCCAGACCUGAGGCCGGUCAGCGAGAAGCUGGAAGCCUACAUCCUGGACCCCCGGGGCUCCAGGAUGAUGGAGUGGAGACACUUGGAGCCGGUCUGCUGCGGUAUCACCAACAUGACCUUCCCCUUGUCCGACCAGCCGGUGCUGGGAGAAUGGUUCAUUUUUGUCGAAAUGCAAGGCCACCUGUACAACAAGUCCUUUGAAGUUCAGAAGUAUGUGCUGCCAAAGUUUGAGCUCCUUAUUGACCCACCCCACUAUAUCAGGGACCUGGAUAGCUGUGAGACCGGCACUGUGCAGGCCAGGUAUACCUUUGGGAAACCUGUCUCCGGGACCUUAGUGAUCAACAUGACUGUGAAUGGCGUGGGGUACUACAGCCAGGAGGUGGGGCGCCCCAUUCUUAGGACCAUGAAGAUCCACGGCUCCCAGGACUUUGACAUCUGCGUGAAGGACAUGAUCCCGGCCGACGUCCCUGAGCACUUCCGGGGCAUAGUCAGCAUCUGGGCCAUGGUCACCACUGUGGAUGGGAGCCAGCAGGUGGCCUUUGAUGACUCCACCCCCGUCCAGAGGCAGCUGGUAGACAUCCGGUACUCCAAGGUCACCAGGAAGCAGUUCAAGCCGGGUCUGUCCUAUGUGGGGAUGGUGGAGCUGUCCUACCCUGAUGGCAGCCCAGCUGAGGGGGUGACAGUCCAAAUCAGGGCAGAGCUGACACCAAAGGACAACAUCUACACUACGGAAUCUGUGUCCCGGGAAGGGCUGGUGGCGUUUGAAAUCCCCUCCAUCCCCAUGUCAGCCCAGCAUGUGUGGCUGGAGACCAAGGUGACAGCGCUCAACGGAAAGCCUGCGGGGACCCAGUACCUGCCCAGCUACCUUUCCCUCAGCAGCUGGUACUCCCCCAGCCAGUGCUACCUGCAGCUGCAGCCGCCCUCCCACCCCCUGCAGGUCGGGGAAGAAGCCCAUUUUUCUGUGAAGUCCACGUGUCCCUGCAAUUUCACCUUGUACUACGAGGUGGCCGCACGGGGCAACAUUGUGCUCUCGGGCCAGCAGCCCGCCCACAUCACCCAGCAGAGAAGCAGGCGGGCGGCCCCGGAGAAACCAAUUCGCUUAACACACCUUUCCGAGACAGAGCCCCCUCCAGCUCCAGCAGCAGAGGUCAAUGUGUGCGUGACCUCUCUCCAACUGGCUGUGACCCCCAGCAUGGUCCCCCUCGGCCGUCUGCUUGUCUUCUAUGUCAGGGAGAAUGGAGAAGGGGUCGCUGACAGCCUCCAAUUCACUGUGGGAACCUUCUUUGAAAACCAGGUUUCACUGAUGUAUUCAGCAAAUGAGACCCAACCUGGGGAAGUUGUGGACCUGCGGGUCAGGGCUGCAAGGGGCAGCUGCGUGUGUGUCACUGUGGUUGAUAAAAGCGUCUACCUGCUGAGGUCUGGGUUUCGGCUGACUCCUGCCCAGGUUUUCCGAGAAUUAGAAGAUUACGACAUUUCUGAUGCCUUCGGGGUGUCACGGGAGGACGGACCCUUCUGGUGGGCUGGGCUGACGGCCCGACGACGCCGGCGCUCCUCUGUCUUCCCCUGGCCCUGGGGUGUCACCAAGGACUCCGGGUUUGCCUUCGCCGAAACGGGACUGGUGGUGAUGACUGACCUGGUGAGCCUGAACCACCGGCAGGAUGGCGGCCUGUACACCGACGAGGCUGUCCCCGCCUUCCAGCCCCACACGGGGAGCCUGGUGGCAGUGGCGUCCUCCAGGCAACCCCCCAGAGCAGAGAAGAGGAAAAGGACCUUCUUCCCGGAAACGUGGAUUUGGCAGUGUCUCAACAUCAGUGACCCGUCCGGCGAGGAGACACUCAGUGUGCAGGUCCCUGACUCCAUCACCAGCUGGGUGGCCGAGGCUGUGGGUCUGUCUGCCACGUGGGGUCUGGGCAUCGCUGAGCCCACCCUGCUGAAGACCUUCAAGCCUUUCUUUGUGGACUUCACGCUGCCUCUCCAUGUGGUUCGUGGGGAGCAGGCCAAGAUCCCGCUCAGCAUUUACAACUACAUGGGCGGCUGCGCUGAGGUGUAUGUGAAGAUCUCGGUUCCCAAAGGCAUCCGGUUUGUGGGGCAUCCUGGCAAACGCCAUCUGACCAAGAAGAUGUGCCUGGCCCCUGGGGAGACCGAGCCCACCUGGGUGGUUCUGUCCUUCAGUGACCUGGGGCUCAGCAACAUCACAGCCAAAGCCCUAGCUUAUGGAGAAACAAGCUGCUGCCGGGACGGGAAGUCCAUCAAACACCCAGAGGAGAAUUACACUGUCAGGAGGGACCACAUCAGGCGCAGCGUGGUGGUUGAGCCUGAAGGAGCGCCCCGCACAUACACCUACAGCGCUUUCUUCUGUCCCAACGAGAGAGUCCAUAUCUCCACACCCAACAAGUACGAGUUCCAGUAUGUGCAGCAGCCACGGCGCCUCACCUGUUUUGACAUGGCUGUGCGAGCACACAAUGAUGCCCGCGUGGCCUUGUCCCCUGGGCCCCAGGACACGGCCGGCAUGAUCGAGAUUGUCCUGGGGGGACAUCAGAACACCAGGUCCUGGAUCUCUACCAGCAAGAUGGGAGAGCCUGUGGCUAGCACACACACAGCCAAGAUCCUCUCCUGGGAUGAGUUCAGAACGUUCUGGAUCAGCUGGCAUGGCGGGCGCAUCCAGGUUGGCUAUGGUCCAGAGCCAUCCAACGAGUCUGUCAUCAUGGCCUGGACCCUCCCGAGGGCACCAGAGGUCCAGUUCAUUGGCUUCUCUACUGGUUGGGGCUCCAUGGGCGAGUUCCGUAUCUGGAGGAAGAUGGAGGUAGACGAGAGCUACAGUGAAGCCUUCACCCUGGGGGUUCCGCACAGCGCCAUCCCCGGGUCUGAGCGGGCGGCCGCUUCCAUCAUAGGAGACGUCAUGGGGCCAACCCUGAAUCACCUUAGCCACCUCCUGCGGUUGCCCUUUGGCUGUGGGGAGCAAAACAUGAUCCACUUCGCGCCCAACGUCUUUGUCCUGAAGUAUCUGCAGAAAACCCAGCAGCUCAGCCCCGAGGUGGAGAGGGAGACCACGGAUUACCUGGUACAAGGCUACCAGCGGCAACUGACCUACAAACACCAGGAUGGCUCCUACAGUGCUUUCGGGGAGCGGGACGCAUCAGGAAGCAUGUGGCUCACGGCUUUUGUCCUGAAGUCCUUUGCCCAAGCCCGCAGCUUCAUCUUCAUUGACCCACGGGAGCUGGCGGCCACCAAGGGCUGGAUCAUCAGGCAGCAGCGGGCAGAUGGCUCGUUCCCGGCCGUGGGCAGGAUUCUGAACAAGGACAUCCAGGGUGGGAUCCACGGCACAGUCCCACUGACGGCCUACGUGGUGGCUGCGCUCCUGGAGCUUGGCGCAGCCUCAGAGGAGGAGAGGGGUGCCAUUGCCAGAGCGCAGCAUUUUCUGGAGUCCAACGUGGCCCUGGCCUCAGACCCUUACAUCAGUGCCCUGACCGCCUACACACUGACCCUGCUCCGCAGCCCGGCAGCCCCCGCGGCCCUGCGGAAGCUCCGCAGCCUGGCCAUCAUGCAGGAUGGGGUCACACACUGGAGCCUGACAGGUUCCCGGGAUGGGGACAAGGACACCUUCCUGAGCUUCACUGACGGCAUGUCUCAGGCAGCUGCCUCUUCCAUUGCAGUGGUCUCUGCCGAGGUGGAAAUGACGGCCUACGCCCUGCUGACCUACACCCUCCUGGGCGACGUGGCCACUGCCCUGCCUGUGGUGAAGUGGCUGUCCCAGCAGCGGAAUGCACUAGGGGGCUUCUCCUCCACUCAGGACACCUGUGUGGCUCUGCAGGCCUUGGCAGAGUAUGCCAUCUUGUCCUAUGCUGGCGGUGUCAACCUCACUGUGUCCCUGGCCUCCACCAACCUGGACUACCAGGAGACUUUCGGGCUGCACAGGGCCAACCAGAAGGUCCUGCAGACAGCGGUGAUCCCCAGCCUCCCCACAGGGCUGUUUGUGAGUGCCAAGGGUGAAGGCUGCUGCCUGAUGCAGAUUGACGUCACCUACAACGUGCCGGACCCAGUGGCCAAGCCAGCCUUCCAGCUGCUCGUGAGCCUCCAGGAACCCGAGGCUGAGCAGGCUCAGUCCCCGGCCCCAGCCUCCUCGGCCGAUGACGACGACCCUGCAGCUGACCAGCACCGCCAGGAGUACCAGGUGACCCUGGAAGUAUGCACCAGGUGGCUGCAUGCAGGGUCCUCCAACAUGGCUGUCCUGGAGGUGCCCCUGCUGUCGGGCUUCCGCGUGGAUAUGGAGAGCCUGGAGCAGCUGCUCCUUGACCAGCAAGUGGCGCUGAAGAGGUACGAGGUGGCUGGACGCAGAGUUCUCUUCUACUUUGAUGAGAUCCCCAGCCAGUGCCUGACAUGCGUGCGGUUCCGGGCGCUCCGCGAACAUGUGGUCGGGAGGACAUCCGCGCUGCCAGUCUCCGUGUACGACUACUACGAGCCUGCCUUUGAGGCCACGCGCUUUUACAAUGUCAGCGCGCGCAGCCCGCUCGCGCAGGAGCUGUGCACAGGCCCCGCGUGCAACGAGGUGGAGCGCUCCGCCGCACAGGGCCCCGGCUGGUCGCCUGGCGAGCGGGGCUCCACAGCCGCCCGGGAGGAGGGGGCGACAGUCACUCGCUGCGGCUGCUCACGUGACUGUGGCGUUCACGAGGACCCAGUGUGUGGCUCUGACGGUGUCGUCUACGCCAACGCCUGCCGCCUGCAGGAGGCCUCCUGCCGCGGGCGCGAGAGGCUGGAGCCCGCGCCCCCUGGCCACUGCGACCUCGGUGAGGACCCACCCGCGCCCGACCUCGGAGCCGCCUACGCCAGUCUCUGCUUACAACUACAACUAUGACCCCGCGCCCCUGGACCCUGGGCACCUGGGGGGCCAUGAGGCCAUGGACUUGGAGGGGGAGGCUGAAGACAGUCAGAGCGGCUUCUCCUCCUAACGCGCAGAACAAGACAUGAUUUGGCUGCGUCGUGUCCCGGUCCAUUCUGCUGGAACGGAGCCACUGAUGGGAGAACUUCCUGGACUGCCUGGUGGGCUUGUGGACCCUGCCCCAAGUAACUCCCACCUCCAGAUGAACCCUAUGAAGAGAACCGCAGAGACCUGACCUUCCCCAAUGGAUGACGGGCCUCUUGGGGACCCAGCCCCCACCUCCACAGGGGGAAGGCCUUUGUGGGGGUGGCUGGAGGCUCUUUGCACCCCCCCAAGCUCCCCAGCUGCAGCUGGAGCUCCAGGCUCCCCACCCUCCAUUCCAGGACCGGAUGUACCCCCCCAUUGCAGGCCAGAGCAGCUCCCUCAGCCGGACUUUCUGCUCCCCGGAGAAGGGCCGUUUCUGGGAAGAACUCACAGCCAAAGGGCUGUUUCUGAGGCGACAAGACUCGGGCCAAAUCAAGGACAUUGCACUCAUCCCGUCUUCAGCAGCUUUGAAACAAAACAAGCUGCUUCUCUCCAAAAUGCAAAGCCCCAGCCUCCCCUUUGGGGCACCCAGACUGCUGACCCCGAAUUGUCGCAGCCCCGCACCACCACCCCCACCUCAACCCCCACCCCACCCCGCCCCAGUCUUGUCCCAGAGGUGCCUGAAUGUUAGGUCUUGGGCAGAUGAACCUGGGUUUUCUUACGGUCUGGGCUCUCCCCAUGAGCCCCUGGUCCGCUGGCUCCCCACUUGGAGGGCCACCCCCUCCACAGUCUUGGGGGGGGGUGGUUGCCCCAGCUUCAUGCCCCACUGAAGCUGCAUACUCAGACCUGCCUCCCUGCCGGGCUCCUCUCCAGCUGUGGUCUGAUUCCUUUUUUGUAUCCCUUGGGCAUCCGCCUGUCUUCCCCUCACCCCCACCCACUCGUGGUAUUUAUUUCAGACCUCCACUGGGGGCAGCAUAGAGACCUACCUGUCCAUGCCUGAGGUGGCUGCCCCAAUCCAUGGGGUCCCUGUCGUGAACAUGGGCCGUUUCCCGUGCUCCUGCCCCUCGCCAGUCUACGAGAGAGGUUCACUGGCUGAGGCCCCAUUCUUCAAUCACUAGAGGCCGCUGGUGUAAUAAAAGCUCAUUUCCACAGUCACUGACGGGCUUUGGCCUGGGGGUGAGGGUGUGGAGGGGACGGCCCCAAAAGCCGAAGCCCCAGCUUCCGUCUGCCUCCUGGGUCUCUGUUCCUCCAGCUAUAGCCUAGCCUAGUCUUCCAAAGUAGGGUGGGGAGGCGGAUGUCACACACCUGCACCUCCAAAUGAUCAGAUUCCCAUACAUUUGUAAGAAAUUACACCAAUGAGAAGAGGUCCCAGUAUCCCUACCCAGACUCCC